UACGUAGGGUGCAAGCGUUGUCCGGAAUUAUUGGGCGUAAAGAGCUCGUAGGCGGCUUGUCGCGUCGACCGUGAAAACUUGGGGCUCAACCCCAAGCCUGCGGUCGAUACGGGCAGGCUAGAGUUCGGUAGGGGAGACUGGAAUUCCUGGUGUAGCGGUGAAAUGCGCAGAUAUCAGGAGGAACACCGGUGGCGAAGGCGGGUCUCUGGGCCGAUACUGACGCUGAGGAGCGAAAGCGUGGGGAGCGAACAGG
rnacentral:rRNA from 1 species